rnacentral:rRNA from 1 species
UACGUAGGGUCCGAGCGUUGUCCGGAAUUAUUGGGCGUAAAGGGCUCGUAGGCGGUUUGUCGCGUCGGGAGUGAAAACACGGGGCUUAACCCCGUGCCUGCUUCCGAUACGGGCAGACUAGAGGUAUGCAGGGGAGAACGGAAUUCCUGGUGUAGCGGUGAAAUGCGCAGAUAUCAGGAGGAACACCGGUGGCGAAGGCGGUUCUCUGGGCAUUACCUGACGCUGAGGAGCGAAAGUGUGGGGAUCAAACAGG